rnacentral:tRNA from 1 species
GCGGUCAUCGACAAGGACUUUGCCAGCUCCCUGCUGGCGAAAGAACUGGAUGCGGACGUGCUGAUCAUCCUGACAGCC